rnacentral:lncRNA from 1 species
AUGAGGCUCGAUUUGGGUUUCUUUAGGUACGGUUUCUUGUAGGUUUCGAAGGAGAAGAUUGGUGGAGGAGCUCGCUUUUUUGUUUCUAGAUUUUUUCAAAAGUCUGGCGGAGAAGAUGAUGAUGGUUUAUUGGUUUCGUUGUAGUGGCACAUGAAAGAGGAAAAUGUGAUCUAGUUGUUAGGAAGAAGUUGGUAGCCUUUGUCUAAGGUAUUGACGACGGUGGUUUGU